CCUGGCGGCAAUAGAGCACUGGUACCACCUGAUCCCAUUCCGAACUCAGUAGUGAAACGGUGUAUCGCCGAUGGUAGUGUGGGAGUUCCCAUGUGAGAGUAGGUCACUGCCAGGC
rnacentral:rRNA from 1 species